GCCAGGAUGUGAGUUGUGUCCCUUAGGGUGAUGCUCUUGCUGCUUCAGUUAUGUGAAUCCAUUAUUCUUGGGUCAGGGUGUGUGGAUGGGGAGUGUGAUCCUGUUGUACGUACUGUAGAACUUGAUCUACAAAUUUUCUCAAGCCAAACCAUUCAAACUCAUAGAGCUUUGGCCAAGUUGAUGGACAACAUACCUGUAUCCUGACUGAGCCCAAAUGAGGUUCUUUCUGAGAAAAGAUGAGCUUAUCCUUGCCUGAGAACUGAGAUGAAACCAUCCAGCAGAGGGAGCUUCCCCAACAGGUCUGUUGAGUAGCUUCUUGGGACCAGUGACUGAAAUGGGUCCCCUUUUCUAAAGAACUGCAAAUUAUCACCCUCUAGAGGAUGAUCUCACAGAGAAUAAUUUUGGUGCCAGGCGGCUCAUGUAUACAUAUGAAUGUGCUGAUCUAUGUUGACUGUGAAGGUUAUUCUUGUAUCAGUUGUAAUCCUUGGGAAGGACCCCCAAUCACCCCAGUCUAAUGUGGAAAAGGAGACAGAAGUUCCCUCUGACCACAGGCCACCUCAUAAUCCCUCCAUUGUAAUGAACUCUUUCCUUUGUGUAGCAAUUUGCAUCGCCAACCCCAAAGUGUCUCCUGUGAGGGAUGGAACUUCUGUCCUGAGUAGUUCUCAUGAAGUCCUAUAGCUUUCUCAUCAGUUAAAAUAUCCUUCCACUGCUUAAAUGUGAGAUAGCUUGAUUAUUUAUUUAUGCAUUUGCUUUUUCUCUGUUUGAUGCACGUGAGAGAUGGAGAGGAAAGAAGACUACAGGGGACAUGAAAAUGUAUAAUCCUUUUGUCUGCACUGUACGUAAGAGAGAUUGCUAGCCAGUGCAAUCCUGACUCUUAUUUUGAAGAUGCCAGCCCUCCUAACGAAUCCUGCUGACUGAAGAAAGACUGUUCCUAAUUCCUCAGAGGAGUCAUUAUCUCCUGUGUAUAUAGGAACAUUUUUGUACCCUGGACAGUAAAAUUGACUUCAUCACCGUUGGUCAUUGUACCCCACACAAAAAUCA